UCUCUUUUGCAUUAUCCUCACGUUUCUCACUAAUAGAUCCAUGUAAUGGAUUCAUGUGUUCUCAAUUCUAUGUGCUUUUGAAAGACAAUUACGACUUCAGUAAUUUGGGCAUUUGAAUCAGUGAACUGAGCUUCUUUCUCUUGAUUUUCUCUUUAUACUUAAGGUUUAUAAGAGUUAAAUCAUUCUUAUAUAGUUUAUUUGUGUGUUCUUUUUAGUAUUCUUAUUAACAUAAUAUCUAUGAGAUUACCUUAUAUUUAAACUUCACUGCAUGCGUGUCAUCCUUUGGCAGAUUUGUAACUGCAUACCUGCUAUAUCUUUUUCUUGUUCAAACUUAUAUGAGCUUCUCUUUUGUAAAUCAACUUGUAAAUUGUUUAACUAGUUUUGUGCAGUGCUGAACGAUGAAUAAACUGAAGGAGCCUAAACUAUGUCAUUCUUGAUGUGUUUGUGUGUCUCGAGGGGGGGGGGGUGAUUGAUAAUGCUCAACUUGUAAAUUGUUUAAUUAACUAGUUUAAUUAUCCGCUGUUAAGUUUUAGGCUGCAAUAAUGAGAAUCAGAUGAAGGCAUUUUCUAAGCUGCUAUCUUCCUCUGUUAAAGAUAGCACCUUCUUCGAGAGCUGUGGUGUAGCCGAUCUUAUAACAACUUGCCGUAAGGAGGCCAUAUAUGUGUAGUCCUGCAUGCACUAUUUAAGUUCAUUCAAAUUUAGCAAUACUUGCAACACAGUGAUCAAAAUUUGAUUAAUUGUUACAGUGGGGGGCAGAAACAGGAAAUGUGCAGAUGCUUUUGCUAGGAAUGGCGGCAGAAAGUUCCUCAGAUUUACAUUUGUUAGAAACCUCUGGAAAUUUAAGCAGUAGCAAUUUUUGAUCAAGUUUGCCUCCAAAUUAUCUGCAGGUCUUUUGAUGAGCUUGAAGCUGAGAUGUUGUAAGGCCAGAAGCUCCAGAGUCAAUCUUCGAUAUGAUUGGCCUGGUGAAGAAAAACUCUAUUGUGAAACUUAUGAUCAAUGAGACAAUGAAAAUAGCUCUUUGACUUCAAGUAGCCCUGUCUUUGCUAACUAGAGAAACACCAUGUACAAGCUUUGAGAACAGGCGACCUCUUGCUUUUCUUUCAAUUGUAUUCGGAGAAUAAAGAUGAGAACGGUGAUAACACAUCAUCACAGGUGGUUUAUGUUCUGGAUCAAGUGCUCGCUUUGGAAGAGGAUUGCCGCUCAAAAUUAAGCAACAAGGUCUUAAUGUUAAGUCUUUUUCUUGUGGUGACUCGAUCGACUUAUCGAUGUAAAGAGGAAUACAUGCAGUCAAGAACCAGAACCUUUGCUAAAAUCAAAGCAUUCCCACAUUGUCCGAGUUCCAUUUAGGACAGAAAGUGGGAUUGUUCCACUUAGAUUUAAUCAUUUCAGUCUAGACUACAUAUUUUUAUUUGAAUUAUGUCUGGACUUCAAUGGCUAAUUUAUGUAUGCAAUUUAGAUUUGAAAUGGUUUGUAAGACUAUAUUGUAACGGUCAUGAUACCGCUUUUGAAUUGUUGGAUACUUGAUACUUGGAUUGUAAAUAGACAAUUGAAAUUUGUGGCUAUAUAAUGUCUGGCUAUAAUUGUAUUU